UGAGGAAUAUUGGUCAAUGGGCGGGAGCCUGAACCAGCCAAGCCGCGUGAGGGAAGAAGGUACAGCGUAUCGUAAACUCUUUUGUCAGGGAACAAAGGCGGGGACUAGUCCCCGGAUGAGGGUACCUGAAGAAAAAGCAUCGGCUAACUCCGUGCC
rnacentral:rRNA from 1 species